CGUUGUAAUGCAACUCUCUCAGGGUCUUGCAUAAGACGCAGUGAACAAUUUUUGCAGACCCUAUUCUUAAGAAUAGGGUG
rnacentral:snRNA from 1 species